GUCCAGAACAGAGGCAACCUUCUCUUUGGUUUCUGGGUCACCUUCCCACUGAUUUCAGCCUGGCCCCGAGCCUUGCUGCUUCAGAAUCAAUCCCAAUCUGAUGGCCAUAACUGCCCAUCUGUCCUCUUUCUCUUGUUAUUCACCAAAUUCAAGAAACCUUUCAUGUACCCCUCCUUCUAUUCAUCAUCUGAAGGCUUUCCUAGACUCCCUGAGCAUCACAGAAAACACUCAGCUUCCUUCUUGGGUAGCUAGCUAACGGUGCCUCAGGUCACUCUGUUCCAUCUGUGCUCUUUCCAUUCCAGCCUGAGCCCAGCCUCACUGCCUAGGGUCAUGCAGAUGACAUGGGCUGUCUGAUCCAGCCCACUCCAGCAGUGGUCUUGGUGGGCCCACCUCAUCCCUCCGUCCUGAGCCACACUACUUUGUGGAACUUUGGCCUCAGGAUCUUUCAAGAAGGAGUCUUUCUCCACAGCCACCACAGGUUGGCAUAUGUUGAAUCUCACCCAAAGCCAGCACAUCUCUGAGUCUCACCCAAGACCCACGUUUUCAGAUCCAAAUACAAAGAACUAUCCAGGGAAGAAAAGAAGAAGA
rnacentral:lncRNA from 10 species